CUACGGGACGCUCCAGUGGGGAAUAUUGCACAAUGGGGGAAACCCUGAUGCAGCAACGCCGCGUGGAGGAUGACGCAUUUCGGUGUGUAAACUCCUUUUAUUUAGGAAGAAAUUUGACGGUACUAAAUGAAUAAGCACCGGCUAACUCCGUGCCAGCAGCCGCGGUAAUACGGAGGGUGCAAGCGUAUACUCGGAAUCACUGGGCGUAAAGGACGCGUAGGCGGUUUGAUAAGUUGGAUGUGAAAUCCUAUGGCUUAACCAUAGAACUGCAUCCAAAACUGUCAGACUAGAGUGAGGGAGAGGUGAAUGGAAUUAGUGGUGUAGGGGUAAAAUCCGUAGAGAUCACUAGGAAUACUCAUAGCGAAGGCGAUUCACUGGAACUUUACUGACGCUGAGGCGUGAAAGCAUGGGGAGCAAACAGGAUUAGAUACCCCCGUAGUC
rnacentral:rRNA from 1 species